rnacentral:rRNA from 1 species
GACGAACGCUGGCGGCGUGCUUAACACAUGCAAGUCGAACGGAAAGGCCCUGCUUUUGUGGGGUGCUCGAGUGGCGAACGGGUGAGUAACACGUGAGUAACCUGCCCUUGACUUUGGGAUAACUUCAGGAAACUGGGGCUAAUACCGGAUAGGAGCUCCUGCUGCAUGGGGGGGGUUGGAAAGAUUCGGCGGUUGGGGAUGGACUGGCGGCUUAUCAGCUUGUUGGUGGGGUAGUGGCUUACCAAGGCUUUGACGGGUAGCCGGCCUGAGAGGGUGACCGGCCACAUUGGGACUGAGAUACGGCCCAGACUCCUACGGGAGGCAGCAGUGGGGAAUAUUGCACAAUGGGCGGAAGCCUGAUGCAGCAACGCCGCGUGCGGGAUGACGGCCUUCGGGUUGUAAACCGCUUUCGCCUGUGACGAAGCGUGAGUGACGGUAAUGGGUAAAGAAGCACCGGCUAACUACGUG